AGGCCAGCAGAGGUGUUUCCUGCCAGGCUGACAGAAGACAACAGACGACUCCUCACUCCUCCUUAAGUACAGUCCUAAAAAGUCCUGAACGCGGCCCAUUUCCCCUGCCGGAUCCGUGAUCAGCCGCUCCCCGCUCACAAAAUGCAUCUGCGAAAGGUGAAAAUACUGCAGCCAGUUCUCCAGGUGCAGAAUAUACAUCCCAAUCCGAAUAGCGUUCCAGGAAGAGUCGACGAGACCAAGGCUUAGGUUCUUAAAGGCCAGCUCUUCAAACGUAGGGAUGUCGGGCUUCUUGGAAAGAGUCUGCGUGUAGUCGGAGAUUGCUCUUGUGACUGGGUUACGCACCACAACAAUCAGCUUGGUCCCAUGGGACAUGUUGGAGAUGCGUCUGGGUGCCUCUCUGGUGACAAAGUAACUUGGAGUCUUUUCUAAUGUGAUCUGGCUGUCUAGUGUCCGUGGCAUUAGUCCCCUUGGGAGAAAAACAAAAAAAUAAAACACACAUGGAUGAGUCAGCAAGAGUUGUUAUUUUCCUGUCCAGGAGCGUUUGCACAUGACUUUAGUAAGAGGAACAUUUUAGCUUAGGAAUGCAAACAUGAUGCCCUUCUUGUAUCACAAAUACCAAGUAUUAAAAACAGCCUGUGUGACAUUUAGCUUGUUAACAGCAACACAACAAUGAAGAAAGGACAGAAAAUACUGAAAUGUAGGUUAUGUGUGUUAAAUCUGUCAAAAUCUUGGUAUUACAGAAGCAAGCAAAUACAAUUUCAUGACAUUUCAAAAACUAUGGAAGGAAAACUAGGUAAAGUAUGUGAUAUUAUUGUGGUAGAAAACAUAUUCAGAUCUGCUUCUUAAGUAAAAGUGUAAUACUUUUCUUUUAUAUUGUAAUACUACAAUAUGAAAAAAUGCACCUUUAUAUGUAAAACUUACUUUAAGAAGAAAACUUGCAGCAAAAUGUACUCAUGAUACAGCAGAUUGAUUCCUGUCAUUGUUUUGUUGGAUUUUUGUUACUCAUCAUGUAUGCAGCAUUUUAAUAUUGUAGCUGAUCGAGGCGGAGAUAACUGUUUUAUCAACUGCUGGGUAGGUAGAACAAAAUAACAAUUUAUCAUAUUUCAAAUCUAUAGAUAUCUUGGUAUUACAGAAACUAUAAAAUACAGUUUGAUGAUAUUUUUUAAAGACAUAAGAAAGUAAACUGUAGGUAUGCAGUACUACUGUAUUUCAAACAUUUAGUUUCCCGCUAACAUAGCACAAAGUACACAGUGUCAAAUAAAGGUAGACAAAUCCCAAAUAAACACAAUGUGAAUGUAUUUGUUAGACGUUAAUUGGUGAUUGUACAGCUUGUACAAUAAAAACAUGCAUAAUAAUUAUCAACAUCAUGCUGCCAAGAUAAUGGCUUUGCAAACUACAGGCAAUUGUCAUAUUUGUCAUGUGAGUCUUCCUUCCCAUUGUAAUAUGUCAUUCUGCUUUGCCACUUUGAUUCAAUAAAAGUUGAUUAAUGAGCCUCUGA